rnacentral:rRNA from 4 species
AAAUUGAAGAGUUUGAUCAUGGCUCAGAUUGAACGCUGGCGGCAGGCCUAACACAUGCAAGUCGAACGGUAACAGGAAGCAGCUUGCUGCUUCGCUGACGAGUGGCGGACGGGUGAGUAAUGUCUGGGAAACUGCCUGAUGGAGGGGGAUAACUACUGGAAACGGUGGCUAAUACCGCAUAACGUCGCAAGACCAAAGAGGGGGACCUUCGGGCCUCUUGCCAUCAGAUGUGCCCAGAUGGGAUUAGCUAGUUGGUGAGGUAACGGCUCACCAAGGCGACGAUCCCUAGCUGGUCUGAGAGGAUGACCAGCCACACUGGAACUGAGACACGGUCCAGACUCCUACGGGAGGCAGCAGUGGGGAAUAUUGCACAAUGGGCGCAAGCCUGAUGCAGCCAUGCCGCGUGUAUGAAGAAGGCCUUCGGGUUGUAAAGUACUUUCAGCGGGGAGGAAGGUGUUGUGGUUAAUAACCGCAGCAAUUGACGUUACCCGCAGAAGAAGCACCGGCUAACUCCGUGCCAGCAGCCGCGGUAAUACGGAGGGUGCAAGCGUUAAUCGGAAUUACUGGGCGUAAAGCGCACGCAGGCGGUCUGUCAAGUCGGAUGUGAAAUCCCCGGGCUCAACCUGGGAACUGCAUUCGAAACUGGCAGGCUUGAGUCUUGUAGAGGGGGGUAGAAUUCCAGGUGUAGCGGUGAAAUGCGUAGAGAUCUGGAGGAAUACCGGUGGCGAAGGCGGCCCCCUGGACAAAGACUGACGCUCAGGUGCGAAAGCGUGGGGAGCAAACAGGAUUAGAUACCCUGGUAGUCCACGCCGUAAACGAUGUCUACUUGGAGGUUGUGCCCUUGAGGCGUGGCUUCCGGAGCUAACGCGUUAAGUAGACCGCCUGGGGAGUACGGCCGCAAGGUUAAAACUCAAAUGAAUUGACGGGGGCCCGCACAAGCGGUGGAGCAUGUGGUUUAAUUCGAUGCAACGCGAAGAACCUUACCUGGUCUUGACAUCCACAGAACUUUCCAGAGAUGGAUUGGUGCCUUCGGGAACUGUGAGACAGGUGCUGCAUGGCUGUCGUCAGCUCGUGUUGUGAAAUGUUGGGUUAAGUCCCGCAACGAGCGCAACCCUUAUCCUUUGUUGCCAGCGGUCCGGCCGGGAACUCAAAGGAGACUGCCAGUGAUAAACUGGAGGAAGGUGGGGAUGACGUCAAGUCAUCAUGGCCCUUACGACCAGGGCUACACACGUGCUACAAUGGCGCAUACAAAGAGAAGCGACCUCGCGAGAGCAAGCGGACCUCAUAAAGUGCGUCGUAGUCCGGAUUGGAGUCUGCAACUCGACUCCAUGAAGUCGGAAUCGCUAGUAAUCGUGGAUCAGAAUGCCACGGUGAAUACGUUCCCGGGCCUUGUACACACCGCCCGUCACACCAUGGGAGUGGGUUGCAAAAGAAGUAGGUAGCUUAACCUUCGGGAGGGCGCUUACCACUUUGUGAUUCAUGACUGGGGUGAAGUCGUAACAAGGUAACCGUAGGGGAACCUGCGGUUGGAUCACCUCCUUACCUUAAAGAAGC